CCCUUAGAGUUUGAUCCUGGCUCAGAACGAACGUUGGCGGCGUGGAUUAGGCAUGCAAGUCGAACGAAUCCCCGGGGCAACUCGGGGGGAAGUGGCGAAAGGGGCAGUAAGGCGUGGCUAACCUACCCCGGGGACGGGCAUAGCCAUCCUAACGGAUGGGUAAUUCCUGGCGAUGCGGCGGAGGGGCAUCUCUUUGCCGUGAAACGAGUUUCGCCUCGGGAGGGGGUCACGUGCUAUUACCUUGUUGGCGGGGUAACGGCCCACCAAGGGGAAGAUGGCUAGCGGGUGUGAGAGCACGACCCGCGCCACUGGCACUGAGACACUGGCCAGACUCCUACGGGAGGCUGCAGUCGAGGAUCUUCGGCAAUGGGCGCAAGCCUGACCGAGCGACGCCGCGUGUGCGAUGAAGGCCUUCGGGUUGUAAAGCACUGUCGAGGGGGAGGAAGCCCGCAAGGGUUGACCUAUCCCUGGAGGAAGCACGGGCUAAGUUCGUGCCAGCAGCCGCGGUAAGACGAACCGUGCGAACGUUGUUCGGAUUCACUGGGCUUAAAGGGCGCGUAGGCGGCUUGCCAAGUCAGGGGUGAAAUCUUUCGGCUUAACCGGAAAAGUGCUUCUGAUACUGGCGGGCUGGAGGAGGGUAGGGGCGGGCGGAACUUCCGGUGGAGCGGUGAAAUGCGUAGAUAUCG
rnacentral:rRNA from 1 species